AUUGAACGCUGGCGGCAUGCCUUACACAUGCAAGUCGAACGGCAGCACGGGUGCUUGCACCUGGUGGCGAGUGGCGAACGGGUGAGUAAUACAUCGGAACGUACCUUAUCGUGGGCGAUAACGCAGCGAAAGCUGUGCCAAUACCGCAUACGCCCUGAGGGGGAAAGCGGGGGAUCGCAAGACCUCGCGCGAUUAGAGCGGCCGAUGCCUGAUUAGCUUGUUGGUGGGGUAAAAGCCCACCAAGGCGACGAUCAGUAGCUGGUCUGAGAGGACGAUCAGCCACACUGGGACUGAGACACGGCCCAGACUCCUACGGGAGGCAGCAGUGGGGAAUUUUGGACAAUGGGGGCAACCCUGAUCCAGCAAUGCCGCGUGAGUGAAGAAGGCCUUCGGGUUGUAAAGCUCUUUUGUCAGGGAAGAAACACCGGCUCUAACACAGUCUGGGAAUGACGGUACCUGAAGAAUAAGCACCGGCUAACUACGUGCCAGCCGCCGCAGUAA
rnacentral:rRNA from 1 species